rnacentral:misc_RNA from 1 species
UUUGGGCAAGUGUUAUGCUUUGAUUGUCACCUGGGUGACGCAUACUCCCGUAAAAGAAUCUGAAUCGAAAUAUUAAUUUCAUCUUUUUACGCGUAAUAAGUGAAUAAUCUUUGCAUCGUGUUGUUUAUUUAGCAUUUAUUAGGGUAAUAGGACAAUCAAAAUGAGUUUUCUUGGUAAACUCUUCGGCGGGAAGAAAGAGGAAAAGGGGCCGUCGACACAUGAAGCGAUUCAGAAAUUACGUGAGACCGAGGAGUUGCUGCUUAAAAAACAGGAGUUUCUAGAAAAGAAAAUCGAAUUAGAAAUACAGACAGCUAGGAAAAAUGGCACGAAGAACAAGCGAGCGGCGAUCGCAGCCCUAAAGCGCAAGAAGCGCUACGAGAAACAACUGACACAGAUCGAUGGCACGCUCACACAGAUCGAGGCGCAGAGAGAAGCGCUGGAAGGUGCAAACACUAACGCUCAAGUGCUGAACACUAUGCGCGAUGCGGCUAAUGCUAUGAAGCUCGCGCACAAGGAUAUCGACGUCGACAAAGUACACGAUAUAAUGGAUGACAUAGCCGAACAGCACGACAUUUCCCGCGAGAUCACCGACGCCAUCAGCAACAAUGUCGCCUUCCCCAACGACAUCGACGAGGAUGAACUGGAGAAGGAGCUUGAGGAGUUGGAACAGGAGGAUCUGGACAAGGAAAUGCUGGGUAUCAACGUACCGACGGACAAACUGCCCGACGUGCCCACCUCCGAGCUCGUGCACGACAAGCCCAAGCCCAGCAAGUCUAAGCAGGCUGAAGAUGACGACGAGUUGGCACAGUUGCAGUCCUGGGCUACAUAAUGCGAUGCACGCAACUCGUGUAUUUGUGAUAUCUAUAGGUAUUGUAUAGCUGCUCGCUUUGUUACAGUAUUUGUGGGGAUAAUGGAUCUAAAGACCUUUUUAUUGAUAACAUAAACGUCGGUUUUUCUCAUUAUAAGUGAUUACUAUGAAUAUUGAACUCCAAAAAAACUGUAGGUCCCGGCUGUCAUUGAACAUCCUUGGCAGUCGUUACGGGUAGUCAGAAGCCAGUAAGUCUGACACCAGUCUAACCAAGAG